AAUGAACGUUGGCGGCAUGGAUUAGGCAUGCAAGUCGAGCGAGAAGGGUUUUGAAGCUUGCUUUAGAACCCGGAAAGCGGCGCAAGGGAGAGUAACGAGUAGUUAUCUACCCCAAGGCCCGGAAUAGCUGCGGGAAACUGCAGGUAAUGCCGGAUAAUAUCCCCGGAUCAAAGGUGUGAUUCCGCCUUGGGAGGAGACUGCUUUGUACUAGCUAGUUGGUAGGGUAAUGGCCUGCCAAGGCUACGAUGCAUAGCGGGCGUGAGAGCGUGGCCCGUCUCACUGGGACUGAAACACUGCCCAGACACCUGCGGGUGGCUGCAGUCGAGAAUCUUCGGCAAUGGGCGAAAGCCUGACCGAGCGAUGCCGCGUGCGGGAUGAAGGCCCUCGGGUUGUAAACCGCUGUCGUAGAGGAGAAAGGUCUGAUGAAGAAUCAGAUUUGAUCUAUUCUAGGAGGAAGUCGGGGCUAAGUUCGUGCC
rnacentral:rRNA from 1 species